GGUAGCCGGAUAGCUGCGUUGCAGAAUGGAAAAUCUGUUAAUGAGGAAAGUCCGGGCUUCACGGGAACAAGAUACCAGAUAACAUCUGGCUGGAGGAAUCCACGGGAAAGUGCCGCAGAAAGUUACCGCCGGACAGGUUCCGGUAAGGUUGAAAAGGCGAGGUAAGAGCUCACCGCAUAGGCAGAAAUGUUUAUGGCAAGGUAAACCCUAUCUGAAGCAAGACCAAAUUAGGAGGCAUUAAUAUUACAGUAUUAAUUGCAAGGAUUGUUUCCGGUCCGCUCCAGAGGUAGGUCGCACCAGUCAAACGGUGACGUUUGAUGCAGAUGAAUAGCUAUCGCACAAAUCUUUAUCGGUAACGGUAAAGCAAAUAAGUGUACAAAACCCGGCUUAUAGGCUACCUUA
rnacentral:RNase_P_RNA from 1 species